rnacentral:rRNA from 1 species
CCCUUAGAUGUUCUGGGCUGCACGCGCGCUACACUGAUACUUUCAGCGAGUCCACCACCUUGCCUGAGAGGGUGGGGUAACCUCUGGAAAGUGUAUCGUGAUGGGGAUCGAUUAUUGUAAUUAUUAAUCUUCAACGAGGAAUUCCUAGUAAGCAUGUGUCAUCAGCCCGUGCUGAUUACGUCCCUGCCCUUUGUACACACCGCCCGUCGCUCCUACCGAUUGGGUGAUCCGGUAAAUAAUUCGGACCGGCGAGUUCUUCGGGGCUUCGCUGGGAAGUUUAGUGAACCUUAUCACCUAGAGGAAGGAGAAGUCGUAACA